GUUGUGAACUCGAAGAGUAGGGCGGGACACGUGGUAUCCUGUCUGAAUAUGGGGGGACCAUCCUCCAAGGCUAAAUACUCCUGACUGACCGAUAGUGAACCAGUACCGUGAGGGAAAGGCGAAAAGAACCCCGGCGAGGGGAGUGAAAAAGAACCUGAAACCGUGUACGUACAAGCAGUGGGAGCACCCUUUGGGGUGUGACUGCGUACCUUUUGUAUAAUGGGUCAGCGACUUAUAUUCUGUAGCAAGGUUAACCGAAUAGGGGAGCCGAAGGGAAACCGAGUCUUAACUGGGCGUUAAGUUGCAGGGUAUAGACCCGAAACCCGGUGAUCUAGCCAUGGGCAGGUUGAAGGUUGGGUAACACUAACUGGAGGACCGAACCGACUAAUGUUGAAAAAUUAGCGGAUGACUUGUGGCUGGGGGUGAAAGGCCAAUCAAACCGGGAGAUAGCUGGUUCUCCCCGAAAGCUAUUUAGGUAGCGCCUCGUGAAUUCAUCUUCGGGGGUAGAGCACUGUUUCGGCUAGGGGGUCAUCCCGACUUACCAACCCGAUGCAAACUGCGAAUACCGAAGAAUGUUAUCACGGGAGACACACGGCGGGUGCUAACGUCCGUCGUGAAGAGGGAAACAACCCAGACCGCCAGCUAAGGUCCCAAAGUCAUGGUUAAGUGGGAAACGAUGUGGGAAGGCACAGACAGCCAGGAUGUUGGCUUAGAAGCAGCCAUCAUUUAAAGAAAGCGUAAUAGCUCACUGGUCGAGUCGGCCUGCGCGGAAGAUGUAACGGGGCUAAACCAUGCACCGAAGCUGCGGCAGCGACACUAUGUGUUGUUGGGUAGGGGAGCGUUCUGUAAGCCGUUGAAGGUGUGUCGUGAGGCAUGCUGGAGGUAUCAGAAGUGCGAAUGCUGACAUAAGUAACGAUAAUGCGGGUGAAAAACCCGCACGCCGGAAGACCAAGGGUUCCUGUCCAACGUUAAUCGGGGCAGGGUGAGUCGACCCCUAAGGCGAGGCCGAAAGGCGUAGUCGAUGGGAAACAGGUUAAUAUUCCUGUACUUGGUGUUACUGCGAAGGGGGGACGGAGAAGGCUAUGUUAGCCGGGCGACGGUUGUCCCGGUUUAAGCAUGUAGGCGGAGGUUCCAGGUAAAUCCGGUACCUUAUUAACGCUGAGGUGUGAUGACGAGGCACUACGGUGCUGAAGUAACAAAUGCCCUGCUUCCAGGAAAAGCCUCUAAGCAUCAGGUAACACGAAAUCGUACCCCAAACCGACACAGGUGGUCAGGUAGAGAAUACCAAGGCGCUUGAGAGAACUCGGGUGAAGGAACUAGGCAAAAUGGUGCCGUAACUUCGGGAGAAGGCACGCUGAUAUGUAGGUGAAGUGAUUUACUCAUGGAGCUGAAAUCAGUCGAAGAUACCAGCUGGCUGCAACUGUUUAUUAAAAACACAGCACUGUGCAAACACGAAAGUGGACGUAUACGGUGUGACGCCUGCCCGGUGCCGGAAGGUUAAUUGAUGGGGUUAUCCGUAAGGAGAAGCUCUUGAUCGAAGCCCCGGUAAACGGCGGCCGUAACUAUAACGGUCCUAAGGUAGCGAAAUUCCUUGUCGGGUAAGUUCCGACCUGCACGAAUGGCGUAAUGAUGGCCAGGCUGUCUCCACCCGAGACUCAGUGAAAUUGAACUCGCUGUGAAGAUGCAGUGUACCCGCGGCAAGACGGAAAGACCCCGUGAACCUUUACUAUAGCUUGACACUGAACACUGGUCCUUGAUGUGUAGGAUAGGUGGGAGGCUUUGAAGUGUGGACGCCAGUCUGCAUGGAGCCAUCCUUGAAAUACCACCCUUUAAUGGCUGGUGUUCUAACGUAGACCCGUAAUCCGGGUUGCGGACAGUGUCUGGUGGGUAGUUUGACUGGGGCGGUCUCCUCCUAAAGAGUAACGGAGGAGCACGAAGGUUAGCUAAUCCUGGUCGGACAUCAGGAGGUUAGUGCAAAGGCAUAAGCUAGCUUGACUGCGAGAGUGACGGCUCGAGCAGGUGCGAAAGCAGGUCUUAGUGAUCCGGUGGUUCUGAAUGGAAGGGCCAUCGCUCAACGGAUAAAAGGUACUCCGGGGAUAACAGGCUGAUACCGCCCAAGAGUUCAUAUCGACGGCGGUGUUUGGCACCUCGAUGUCGGCUCAUCACAUCCUGGGGCUGAAGUAGGUCCCAAGGGUAUGGCUGUUCGCCAUUUAAAGUGGUACGCGAGCUGGGUUUAGAACGUCGUGAGACAGUUCGGUCCCUAUCUGCCGUGGGCGCUGGAGAAUUGAGGGGGGCUGCUCCUAGUACGAGAGGACCGGAGUGGACGCAUCACUGGUGUUCGGGUUGUCAUGCCAAUGGCAUUGCCCGGUAGCUAAAUGCGGAAGAGAUAAGUGCUGAAAGCAUCUAAGCACGAAACUUGCCCCGAGAUGAGUUCUCCCUGACCCUUUAAGGGUCCUGAAGGAACGUUGAAGACGACGACGUUGAUAGGUCGGGUGUGUAAGUGUAGCGAUACAUUGAGCUAACCGAUACUAAUGAACCGUGAGGCUUAACCUU
rnacentral:rRNA from 1 species